rnacentral:misc_RNA from 1 species
AAGGAUCAUUACCGAAUUGUCAACACGAGUUGUUGCUGGUCCUCAAAUGGGGGCAUGUGCACGCUCUGUUUACACAUCCACUCACACCUGUGCACCCUCUGUAGCUCUGUGGCAUGGGGGGCUCUGCCCUCCUGUCGUGGUUCUACGUCUUUACACACACUCUGUAACAAAGUCUCAUGGAAUGCAUGACGCGUUUAACGCAAUACAAUACAACUUUCAGCAACGGAUCUCUUGGCUCUC